rnacentral:rRNA from 1 species
GAUGAACGCUAGCUACAGGCUUAACACAUGCAAGUCGAGGGGCAGCAUGAACUUAGCUUGCUAAGUUUGAUGGCGACCGGCGCACGGGUGAGUAACACGUAUCCAACCUGCCGAUGACUCGGGGAUAGCCUUUCGAAAGAAGAUUAAUACCCGAUGGCAUAGUUCUUCCGCAUGGUAGAACUAUUAAAGGAUUUCGGUCAUCGAUGGGGAUGCGUUCCAUUAGGUUGUUGGCGGGGUAACGGCCCACCAAGCCUUCGAUGGAUAGGGGUUCGUGAGAGGAAGGUCCCCCACAUUGGAACUGAGACACGGUCCAAACUCCUACGGGAGGCAGCAGUGAGGAAUAUUGGUCAAUGGACGAGAGUCUGAACCAGCCAAGUAGCGUGAAGGAUGACUGCCCUAUGGGUUGUAAACUUCUUUUAUACGGGAAUAAAGUGAGGCACGUGUGCCUUUUUGUUAUGUACCGUAUGAAUAAGGAUCGGCUAACU